AUGAGGAUUGCGAUCGUGACCUGCAUGCAUAACGUGGAUUAUCACGAUGAAACCUGAUGAAUGGGCAGUAACUAGUUUGAGUGAAUUGCUGAGCUUCAAGAUUCUUCACUAAAAUGCGUUCUCCGUGUGUAUCGAAGGUCACUACUGUUCGGAGAAAAUGUACUAUAAAUGCAUCUGAACUCCAAUAUCAGUAACCGCGAGGCUGAAUAAAAUCUAAAAUAAAGUUUAAGGUAAGAACAAAGUUCAUUUACACAUCCCCAGCCUCUAUAAGCUCCGAGGGGGGCUAAUAGGGAAAAUAAGGUAUUCUUCGAUUCGAGUUCGCGUUAUCGGUGUCUUAAUGGGAAACGUCUGUUGAAGCAUUCGUAGUUCCAUGCCAUUCUCCUCAAACAAUUUCUUCUGAGACAACGUGUCCAUAUCUAUUUCAGAAGAAAGAUGGCCACGUGUCAUUAAGAAUGGACAUGUAUAUGGACUACAAUAUAAUUUGUUGAGGAGAAAAUCGAUAGCUGCUAUCAAUAGCAACAGAGGUAACAUAGUUUAAUCAAAAGUCUCGUUACACUCUCGUGCAUGCUGCAUAUUGUUGAAGAAUGAUUUUACUCUUUGUUUUGUACGAACACCACGCGUAUUUUAUACAAAAUAUGCGUAAUGUUUCCACAAAACAGAAGAAUGACAGUAUAUCUCACGAUGCAAACAUACAUGCAUGGAACAUCUGAAGAAUAAUUUUUUUGUUCUCAGAAACUUCUGAAAUAUGGUAGACUUUCCAAUGACAGCUAGUUUAGUUUACACCUCAAUGUCUGCACGGAAUUUGUGCCAUGAUUGUAGCAAAUAACACUGAACAUUAUAGGUAUUUUAGAAUUAGUCCAAACUAGAUGAUAAUAUCACAAACCCUGCAUGAGACUAUUUUGCGAAGCUCAUUGUCUUGGGAAACGUCUGUUGAGGCAUUCGUAGUUCCAUGCCAUUCUCCCCAAACAAUUUCUUCUGAGACAACAUGUCCAUAUCUAUUUUAGAAGAAACAUGGCUAAUUCAUGUGGACGAUGAAAUACAUAGUAGAUAAACACUGCUAUAUCUUACUUGUUAAAAACUGGACACGUGUCAUUAAGAAUGGACAUGAAUAAGGACUGCAGUAUAAUUUUGAGGGAGAAAUCGAUAGCCGGACGGAAUGGAUCCGAAUACAGGAUAUAGGAGAAAUGGUUAUCCUGGAUUUGUCUAUUAUUUGUCAGAG